rnacentral:rRNA from 1 species
GACGAACCGUGCGAACGUUGUUCGGAAUCACUGGGCUUAAAGGGCGCGUAGGCGGUCUGCCAAGUCCGGGGUGAAAGCCCCCAGCUCAACUGGGGAAGUGCCUUGGAUACUGGCGGACUCGAGCGAGGCAGGGGUCGUGGGAACUUCCGGUGGAGCGGUGAAAUGCGUUGAUAUCGGAAGGAACGCCGGUGGCGAAAGCGCACGACUGGUCCUCUUCUGACGCUGAGGCGCGAAGGUCAGGGGAGCAAACGGG